rnacentral:lncRNA from 1 species
AGCUGCUGGACAGGUAAUACCUCCUGGGGAUGGGUCACAGCCAGACGGCUCCAGGAACCUGGAAAUAAGAAGUGGAAGCUGGGAACCCUAGACUGAAGAAGACCAUGCAUGAAAAUGGAACCUGUGCAGCUUUAGAGCUUACUCAGUGCCUGGCUGAGCUAAGGACUCACAUGAAAGCUGACUGGCUGAGUUUCAAGCUAAAUAAAACAGAGGUGAGCAUGUUGGGGGUAAAGGGUUACAAAGGGCUCAGGGACAUCAUUUACAGACUGUUUAAACCUGGGAGUUUUCUUACUCACAAUCGUGCUCCAAAAACCUCAGAACUCGGUUAG